UACAGAGGGUGCAAGCGUUGUUCGGAAUUAUUGGGCGUAAAGGGCGCGUAGGCGGUGCCACAAGUCACCUGUGAAAUCUCCGGGCUUAACUCGGAGCCUGCAGGCGAAACUGUGGUGCUGGAGUGUGGGAGAGGUGCGUGGAAUUCCCGGUGUAGCGGUGAAAUGCGUAGAUAUCGGUAGGAACACCAGUGGCGAAGGCGGUCUCCUGGGGCAUUCUUGACGCUGAGGCGCGAAAGCUGGGGGAGCAAACGGG
rnacentral:rRNA from 1 species